CCUACACGACCGUACCGCAAACCGACACUGGUGCGCGAGAUGAGUAUUCUAAGGCGCUUGAGAGAACUCAGGAGAAGGAACUCGGCAAAUUGACAUCGUAACUUCGGAAGAAGGUGUGCCUUUAGUAGGUGAACCAUUUACUUGGGGAGCCCAAUGAGGCUGCAAAAAAUCGGUGGCUGCAACUGUUUAUUAAAAACACAGCACUCUGCUAAGACGAAAGUCGACGUAUAGGGUGUGACGCCUGCCCGGUGCUGGAAGAUUAAAUGAUGGGGUGCAAGCUCUUGAUUGAAGUCCCAGUAAACGGCGGCCGUAACUAUAACGGUCCUAAGGUAGCGAAAUUCCUUGUCGGGUAAGUUCCGACCUGCACGAAUGGCGUAAUGAUGGCCACACUGUCUCCUCCUGAGACUCAGCGAAGUUGAAAUGUUUGUGAUGAUGCAAUCUCCCCGCGGAAAGACGGAAAGACCCCAUGAACCUUUACUGUAGCUUUGUAUUGGACUUUGAACAGAUCUGUGUAGGAUGGGUGGGAGGCUUUGAAGUGUGGUCGCUAGAUCGCAUGGAGCCAACGUUGAAAUACCACCCUGGUGUGUUUGAGGUUCUAACCUAGGUCCAUUAUCUGGAUCGGGGACAGUGCAUGGUAGGCAGUUUGACUGGGGCGGUCUCCUCCCAAAGUGUAACGGAGGAGUUCGAAGGUACGCUAGGUACGGUCGGACAUCGUGCUAAUAGUGCAAUGGCAUAAGCGUGCUUAACUGCGAGACUGACAAGUCGAGCAGAUGCGAAAGCAGGACAUAGUGAUCCGGUGGUUCUGUAUGGAAGGGCCAUCGCUCAACGGAUAAAAGGUACUCUGGGGAUAACAGGCUGAUACCACCCAAGAGUUCAUAUCGACGGCGGUGUUUGGCACCUCGAUGUCGGCUCAUCUCAUCCUGGGGCUGUAGCCGGUCCCAAGGGUAUGGCUGUUCGCCAUUUAAAGAGGUACGUGAGCUGGGUUUAAAACGUCGUGAGACAGUUUGGUCCCUAUCUUCCGUGGGCGCUGCAGAUUUGAGGAAGCCUGCUCCUAGUACGAGAGGACCGGAGUGGACGAACCUCUGGUGUAUCGGUUGUCACGCCAGUGGCAUUGCCGAGUAGCUAAGUUCGGAAGAGAUAACUGCUGAAAGCAUCUAAGCGGGAAACUCGUUUCAAGAUUAGAUCUGCCGGGGCCUUGAGCCCCCUAAAGAGUCGUUCAAGACCAGGACGUUGAUAGGUCAGGUGUGGAAGUG
rnacentral:rRNA from 1 species